CUUAUUGGGCUCCUGUCUGCAGGAUUUACGCGCACGUUGGAACCGAAGAGAGCUCUGUUGUUGCAAUGUUCAGCCCACAAGACCUUACUGGUGAAGGAAUGGGACAAGACCCAUCUUUAUGCAAAGCCAGCGUUACAGUAAUGUCCCAGGUAGGUGUACAUGGUUUAUGCUCUUACAGAGGAGACCUUGUAGAUAACCACUCCAUGAUGAACACAAAAUGACAAGCAUAUGGCUGAACUUUCAAGUGAUGUCAUCUUACUACUGAGAAGUGAGAGAGAGGUCUUAAGGGGUCUUUGAAUGACUAUUUUUAGGUACAUAAAAUGCUUUCCUCUGUUGUCUACAGCAUCUCAUAAUCUAUCCUGGGGAAUUCAGCUGCCUCCCAGGGUGAAUACAGGUAUUCCUGAUGACAGUCUGCCUUCUAUCUUACAGUAAGUUGUUUUUCGAAUUCUGUGGGCCUAUUAUCUAAUAGAUAACUUAGGCAUUUUGAUAUUUGUUACCAAAGCCUGCUUAACCCAUAAAGUUUUCUGGUUCCUCUUGUUCUCUGUAGUGAUGUUUCUAGAC
rnacentral:sRNA from 1 species